rnacentral:lncRNA from 1 species
AACAACAGAGUUUGAUUUAAAAUUUAUGAAUUAUUUUUGGAAUCUUCAUUUAAUAUUUUCAGACUGCAGUUCAGUGCAGAACUGAAACCCUGGAAAGCAAAACUGUGAAUGAGGGUGGACUACCGUAUCUGACAGGGUGGGAGGAUGAAAGACAUGACUGGGACACCUGGAAGUGUUUGCUUAAUUACAGGCACUAAGAAAAACUGAGUGAGGGGAGAAAAGGAAAUUUCACAACUGCAACAACCAAGGCUGUUAUCUUUAAGAUGCUCUGCCACAGUCCCACUGUAGCCGACCAGAAUUAUUCAGAAUACAAAAUUCCAUCCCAUAUUCUUGGGAUCAUACAAAUGAGUGUGAUUAUAAAAUAUUUUACUACCUGAAAUCACAUCCUCAUUUAGUUUCUAAAUGGACAAGUGCCCUCUGAUUACCUAGGUCUUUCAUCAAAAUGGCCUUGUAGUAUUUCUUCUGCAAUGCUGACAUGCCAUGGUAUAUCACUACUUCUGUCUUCUUGGGAAGCUCUGUAGCUACCUCAGCUUUCACUCGCCUCAGCAGAAAUGGCUGCAAGAGUUUGUGCAGUUCACUUGCUACAUAAGAAAAAAAAAUACAAGAAGUGUGGGACAAAAGUAGAACCAAGGCAAUGAACCCUAGAGAACUUAAAGAAAUUUAUUUUUGUUUCUUAUUUCACGCUUAUUUUGCAUUCUAGGCCAGUAUGAUCAUUUUUUUAUAGUAUUUCUUCCUUCAUUGGGAUCAUCUUUUUUCUGGAAUCAUGACUUGUUCUUAGCCCAAGAACGAGGAACACUCAAAUAACUUCUUAUCUCAUUUGCACAAAGCUGUUUUGUUUCCAGAAUAUUUUUGCGUUUAAUCUCAUUGAUCAGCAUAACAGCUUAGAAAUUUCAAGUGAGGAAUACUGUCCCCAUUUUUAUAGCUAAGUUAAGUGAGGCUCAGAAAUUAGGCAACUUAUCCAAAGUCACACAGCUGGAUGUGAAUGUGGCCAGCAUUCAAAUUUGGCUCUUUGACUUAAAAUCCCUUCUUUCCCCAGAUGUCUUGAAUUUCAAAAAUUAUUCUAAAUUAGAAUUAUACUACCUGUAGGAUUGCCAGAUAUGCAAAUGGAAAUACAGAUGCCCAGUUAAACUUGAAUUUCAAAUAAAUAAUGAAUAACUUUUUAACACAAGUGUGUCCCAUGUAAUACAAGUAUGUCAUGCAUUUGACUAGAAGUCUUAUAUUUUGUCAGGUAACCCAAAACAUGGGAGUAAUCAGAGCAGGUUCGCCAGGUGAUCUUCAGUCUAUGGUCUGGAGAUUUUUGCUAUGAGAAGCCCCCUCAAACUCAUACUUACCCAACACAUACAAACUCACUAGUUGGCAUACCUCCUACCUGUUUUGAAAAAUCAUCCCAGGAUAAUAUCACAGGGAUAGAUGGAUAAUCCUACAACACAGAGGGGCAAAGGUACAAGAACAGAAGACUACAACUCUUGGCUGUAUGAAUGAGGAAGGGUUCCCAUCCCAGAAUUCUGGUUUUGGUGCAGCAUUAAAAGAAAUACCAGUGCUGUAGUAUGCUGAACAGUAGUUUGGGACUACAGCACCCACAUUCUUUUCUCCCUCAGGAAGUGACUUAUAAAGUUAACAAAGCCUUUAUAGAAAUUACAAGUUGGAAAAAAAAGUCUGCAAAUCAGCAGGCACUUUCUAUUUCUUCCAAAAAUGAACUAAAGAAGCCCUACUGCAGAAUCAAAUAGCAAACAAUUAAGAGAGGCAUGAACAGCAGACAACUGGGAACAACAUGUGUGACUUAACAUCUCCCUAAUAUCAGCGGUCUGUCUCCCUGGAAGGUGUCCUCUGGUCAUCAAUUCUCCUUCUUUUCUACCUAUAACCAUUAUGCAUGAGGAUGGUUUCUGUGCCAAGGCUUCUUGGGGAUGAUUUGCAGGAAAGGAACUUGCCUGACUCAGAUUCUUUCUCAAUAUCCUGGUAGCGUUGAAUAAAAUCUCCCACCUCUUCCUUGGAAAAGAGAUCAGGCUCCACAAAACUGAGGAGGGAGUAGAGCUCUUGGAGGCUGUUCUGGAUGGGAGUUCCGGUCAACAGGAGACUGAAGACUACUGAGAACUCAAAUACAUAAAUAAAUAAAAUAAAAAUUCCAUAACACUGGAAUGCAAGGCUGAGUUACCCAUCACAACCUUUACCCACACAGAGAGAGGCAUGAUUUAAUGAAAUGACUGAGGGGACAUGAAAUCAGAUGGCUCAGGUUGAAGCUGCAAACUAGCUGUUUGAUGCAGAUGAAAUAAUACCUCUUCAGUUUCAACUAUAAGAAGGGGACAAUAAUCCUGUGAAGAAAACACUUAUAUAAGGAUGUAGUAACACUUUGUGAACUCUGAAGUAUUGCAUGAGAAUUUAAUAUGGCUGUUAUUACUGAAUUUAGAUGGGGAUUCAAACUAUGUGUUACUGCCUGUGUCGGGGAGUCUACUGAGGUAUCUGAGACACAAUGCACAUGCUCAUGCAGUUUGAGAAUCCAACGCUACAGCAUCAGGCCCCACCACUGCAAGCAAUAAGUAAGAUUUAUAAUAGGAGACUUUCCUUUUAUAAAAUUUAAUGGUGCAUCAGAUGCAAGAUGUCAAGAUUUCUGGAUGUUUCUGGACACAGCACCACAGAGAAUCUUAAAUGGAAAAAAAAUUUCCUUAAAUUUUCAACAACAAAGAAGAACACCAAGAUGCAAGAUGUCAAGAUUUCUGGAUGUUUCUGGUGAUCACAGAGAAUCUCAAAUGGAAAAAAAAAGUCCUUAAAUUUCGAACAACAGAGAAGAACACCAAGAGUAAGAGAGACAUGAAGUAGAAGGUUAGGAAGGUUCUGGUGUCUCUGGAGAUCACAGAGAAUCUCAAAUGGAAAAAAAAUGUCCUUAAAUUUUGAACAACAGAGAAGAACACCAAGAGUAAGAGAGACAUGAAGUAGAAGGUCAGGAAAAAGAAGAAAAGAUAUUAGGUCAAGCAAAAGAUAUUCUCUAAACUGACAUUCACAAGAAUUUAGUAGAAUUAAACAAUACAUCAAAAUGAGGAAGCCAUAUCUUGACAUCUUGUGUAUGUAUAUCUUUUUUUUUUUUUUUUUGAGACAGGGUCUUGCUCUGUCACCCACGCUGGAGUACAGAGGCAUGAUCUCGGCUCACUGUAACCUCCUCCUCCCGGUUCAAGUGAUCUUCCCACUUCAGCCUCCCCAGUAGCUGGAGCUACACACACUCACCACCACAUUCAGCUAAUUUCUUAAAUUUUCUUAUAGCGACAAGGUCUCACUAUGUUGCCCAGGCUGCUUUUGAACUCCUGGGUUCAAGUGAUCUUCCUGCCUCGGCCUCCCAAAGUGCUAGGAUUACAGGUGUGAGCCUGUAAUUACAGCCUGUUUUAAAUGUCAAAACAUAGUAUGUAAACGUAUAUAUACAAUAUUUUGAUAUUUAAUAUACAUUUUGACUUUUUAAAUAAUAUAUAUGCAUAUAUACAUUACUUUUUGAAUGUAUACACACAGCAAAGAUUAUGGCAGCACAUACACCAUUAAACCAUUAAAGUGUUAAUGUAGGAGUAGGAUUACUGGGAUGUUUUCCUUUUCUUCUUGUCUUUCUAUAUUUUGAUUUGGAGGGGGGGCCAUAGGAAGACACUGCUUUUAUAAUACAAAAAAUGAUAAAUGAAUAACACAAUCAAUGAAAACAGAUGUAAACAAUUUUUUUUUUUGCCAUCUCCCUUUUUUAUUUGUUUCUUUUUAAAUGUCUAAUCAAUGUCUACCCAUUCAUGGUUGUUCUGCUUGUUAGGUGAUGUUUUUGUAGUAUUUCAAGUAUGGGAACUUGUCAAAAGUAAUGUUUCCAAUCAUCAGUUCACAUUCUUACAAUAUGUGUUCACCAAGUAAAGAGCUGAGGUGAAUGAAGGCUGUGAGGUCACAAAGGAAACCAAGGCUGCUAGUCGCUACAGGUAACUUACCCUAUGACACAAAUUAACAUUUUGAUUCAGUUAGGUCCAUUUUGGGAUCAAAAUUUAUAACUGGGUAAAGAUUCAGAGACCAUCUCUGUUUGUAAAUAGUAUUUUGUAAGCUUUUUUGUGUGUGUAUAAAAUACUUUGCAAACAUUUUCCAUGUUAUUAAAUAUUCUUCUACAUAAUUGUUCUUGGUAGCCUUACCUUUUGCAAAUGCACUGCAUGAAUGUCGCAUAAAUUGUACAACCAAUUCCCUAUAUUUUACAUUUAGGUUGCUUCCAACUAUUUUUUUUUUUUUUUUUGAGACAGAGUCUCGCUCUGUCGCCCAGGCUGGAGUGCAGUGGCGCAAUCUCGGCUCACUGCCAGCUCCAUCUCUCAGGUUUACGCCAUUCUCCUGCCUCAGCCUCCCAAGUAGCUGGGACUACAGGCGCCCACCACCAUGCCCAGCUAAUUUUUUGAAUUUUUUAGUAGAGACGGGGUUUCACCGUAUUAGCCAGGAUGGUCUCGAUCUCCUGACCUCGUGAUCCACCCAUCUCAGCCUCCCAAAGUGCUGGGAUUACAGGCGUGAGCCACUGCGCCCGGCUGGUUGCGUCCAACUUUUAUAAACUGAAAACAAUAUUAGGGGGAAAUAAAAAACGGCAGUAUCCCCCUCCCCAUCUCAGCCCAAUAAAUACAUGUAUUUUCUUUCCAACUAGUUAUCUGCAACCCAAGCUUCAUCUAAAAAGGAAUGCUUAGAUGACCCAGAACCAUUUCUUCACUUAAUCCCUGAGCCUUAGUUUCCUUAUGAAUAACAAGAAAAGGCUCUGGGGCCAGCAACAGAACUUAGCUUUCCCACUCCAAAUCCAGGUUCUUUUACUAUGCCUGCUUCUCUCCUCCCGUUUUAAAUUAGUAAACUGGCACAGUAGUUUAUGAAGCCAUCUUUCAUAAGGUUAGAUGCCAGGAUAUGACAACUGCUAUGGAUUGAAUGUGUUUCCUUCAAAAUUCAGGUGUUGUCAAUGUAAUAUUAUUAAGAGGUAGCGCCUUUAAGAGGUGGUUAGUUCAUAAGAACUUUUCCCUCGUGAAUAAGAUUAAGGCCUUUAUAUAUAAAAAAAAAAAAGUGUCAUGCAGCAUUUGGAUAGCUUGCUCUUCUGCUCCCUCUUGCCCGUCCACCUUCUGUCAUGUGAGGAUGCAGUUAAGAAGGCUCUUGCCAAAUGCUGGCACCUUGAUCUUGGACUUCCCAGCCUCUAGAACGGUGAUAAAUAAAUUUCUGCUCAUAUGAAUUACCCAGUCUGUGAAAAACAGACCAAGACAAGCUCUCAGAAGGAGAUACUGUUAAAAGUCCCUACAAAGAAAGCAAAGGACACCAGGGAUAGAGGGGGCCCCACCAGGGGACAGCGACCUUUGAGACUGGGCUAAUAAUACACAGUGAUCGUAUCUACAUUAAGACUCUAAAAACUACAACUUUCAGACCAGUAAAAAUAGAAUUCAUAUCUAAGACUUUCCUCCAAGUGACCUCUAAAUUUAUUAAUUGGUUUAUUAUAGGACAAGGACCAAACUUCAAUUAUCAUCACAGAAAUUAACAUAUGUGGUCUCAUCAAUGAACAAAUCUUUACCAGGUCAAUAAAAAGGGUAUUUCACAUCGCACUGACUCCUCGGAAAAAAGGGCCCAUCUAGGGUACAAUGGUAUUUCUCAUCUACUUUGCCAGAAUGAUGCAAGAGAUCCAGAGAAAGGAAUGAAAGCAAGUGUAUUAUGCUCAAAAGUAGGACAAAGACAAGACAAACUGGAGGUAAUAUUCAAUAGCAUGUAAUUGGUCUCUUCAUGAACCCAGGUGAACUAUCAAAUUUUUUCAACAGGUAAAUUGGGGGGAAGGGUACAACAUGUCUGAUAUAUCUACUAUUGCACAAAGAAGAAUUAUAAUAAGAUUUUUUAAGAGAAAUUGUUCCUUUGAAGAUAAUCAAAAGAGAGUUGAAACAUCUGAAAUAAAAUGCAUUCUAUUGGGGUAGGGUUCUUAUUCACCAGAUAUUAGUAAACCUAUCUCCAAUAUAAAAGAAAGAAGAAGUUAGGCCAUAUUUAGUACUUCUUCUGUCUUCUAUAAAAUGUUCAUUUAGCCCUGCAGAAAUCGAACUCGAAAAAAGGUUUCAAUUUAAUUGACUCUAUAUAGGCCUAAACUAGUAUUUUUUAAAGGGAGUUACGAAGAAAAGAUGAAUAUGUGGAGCACAUAGGAUUUUUAGGGCAGUGAAACUACUCUGUAUGAUACUAUAACAGUAGAUAUCAUGGUAUUGUACAUUUGUCCAAACCUACAGAAUGCACACCACCAAGAGUGAACCCGAAUGUAAACUAUGGACUUUGAGUGAUAGCGAUGUAUCAAUGUAGGUUCAUCAGUUGCAACAACUGUGCCACUCUGGUGGGGUAUGUUGAUAAUGGGUGAAGCUGUACAAGUGUGGGGACAGGGGACAGCUGUACAUGUGUGGGGACAUAUGCAUGGGAAACAUCUGUAGUUUCUGUUCAAUUUUGUUGUGAAUCUAAAAUUACUCUAAAAUAUAAUGUAUAUUUAAAAAGAAGGGGUUA